GACGAACGCUGGCGGCGUGCUUAACACAUGCAAGUCGAACGGAAAGGCCCCUUCGGGGGUACUCGAGUGGCGAACGGGUGAGUAACACGUGAGUAACCUGCCCUUGACUUCGGGAUAACUUCAGGAAACUGGGGCUAAUACCGGAUAGGAAUCCUUGCUGCAUGGUGGGGGUUGGAAAGCUUCGGCGGUUUUGGAUGGACUCGCGGCUUAUCAGCUUGUUGGUGGGGUAGUGGCUUACCAAGGCUUUGACGGGUAGCCGGCCUGAGAGGGCGACCGGCCACAUUGGGACUGAGAUACGGCCCAGACUCCUACGGGAGGCAGCAGUGGGGAAUAUUGCACAAUGGGCGGAAGCCUGAUGCAGCAACGCCGCGUGCGGGAUGACGGCCUUCGGGUUGUAAACCGCUUUCAGCAGGGGCGAAGCUUGUGGUGACGGUACCUGCAGAAGGAGCACCGGCUAACUACGUG
rnacentral:rRNA from 1 species